rnacentral:tRNA from 1 species
GGAGAGGUGUCCGAGCGGUUUAAGGAGCUGGUCUUGAAAACCAGUGACUCUCACGAGCCAAGGGUUCGAAUCCCUUCCUCUCCGCCA